rnacentral:rRNA from 1 species
CUACGGGGGGCUGCAGUGGGGAAUAUUGCACAAUGGGCGCAAGCCUGAUGCAGCCAUGCCGCGUGUAUGAAGAAGGCCUUCGGGUUGUAAAGUACUUUCAGCGGGGAGGAAGGGAGUAAAGUUAAUACCUUUGCUCAUUGACGUCACCCGCAGAAGAAGCACCGGCUAACUCCGUGCCAGCAGCCGCGGUAAUACGGAGAGUGCAAGCGUUAAUCGGAAUUACUGGGCGUAAAGCGCACGCAGGCGGUUUGUUAAGUCAGAUGUGAACUCCCCGGGCUCAACCUGGGAACUGCAUCUGAGACUGGCAAGCUUGAGUCUCGUAGAGGGGGGUAGAAUUCCAGGUGUAGCGGUGAAAUGCGUAGAGAUCUGGAGGAAUACCGGUGGCGAAGGCGGCCCCCUGGACGAAGACUGACGCUCAGGUGCGAAAGCGUGGGGAGCAAACAGGAUUAGAUACCCCUGUAGUC